rnacentral:rRNA from 1 species
GAUGAACGCUGGCGGCGUGCCUAAUACAUGCAAGUCGAGCGAACAGACGAGGAGCUUGCUCCUCUGACGUUAGCGGCGGACGGGUGAGUAACACGUGGAUAACCUACCUAUAAGACUGGGAUAACUUCGGGAAACCGGAGCUAAUACCGGAUAAUAUAUUGAACCGCAUGGUUCAAUAGUGAAAGACGGUUUUGCUGUCACUUAUAGAUGGAUCCGCGCCGCAUUAGCUAGUUGGUAAGGUAACGGCUUACCAAGGCAACGAUGCGUAGCCGACCUGAGAGGGUGGAUCGGCCACCUUGAACCGGGACACCGGCCCAACCCCCACCGGGAGGCAGCGGUGGGGAUCUUCCCGCAAGGGGGGAAAGCCGGACGGGGCACCGCCGGGGGGGUGAUGAAGGUCCCCGGAUCUUAAACCCUUUUUUUUGGGGAAAAAAAAAUGUGAAAGUAACUUUGCCCGUUUUGCCGGUACCAAAUCAAAAAGCCCCGGCUACCUCCGG